rnacentral:piRNA from 2 species
UAGCUCAAGUGCCAUGUCCUCUGAAGU